rnacentral:lncRNA from 1 species
UCGUAAGUAAUAUGCGGUAAUUCAGUUCAAUUCUCCCGAUGGAAAGGUUCGCUUGACAGUUUUAUAAGCCGUGUGAAAAAUUGACGGAAGUUUGUUAUACGCUUUUCAAAAGUGUUUUCAAGGUUCAUCGGUUCUUUGUCGUUAUCAACGACUCGAUUCCGAUGAAUGUCGUUCAACGCGAUCGCGGUGCUCCGUGAUUCGUUAAAAAUAUGGCUCUCAGUAGAUCCCGUUAUGAUAUUCAAUCGUUUCGAAAGCGUGGAAAAACUUUACCUCAUACCCGUAUAUCGCCACUCUAUUCCUCACGAUGAAUGACAUAUUUCACACGUACGGAGAGAACGCCCAGCUAUCCGGCGAGAGUGAUGUGAAUUGCGUACAAUUAGCUAGUGAACGUUUGCCUAAAAGGACACGUUAUUCACGUAUCAUUUGAAUUUUCCAACGUUCUCAGUGGACUGCAACAUGCGGGUAGGUCACGAUGGUGCAACAUAUUUCACUCGCACUUUCUAUAAGAGGUGCGCCUUUAACAUCGACUCUCAUACUUCACGAGUCCCGCUGCAAAGGUAUGGCAACCGGCGACAGUUUCAUUAAAAUCAUCUGAACAUUGUAAAAUCCUAAAUGACGAUGAUUUUGAAAAAAAAUAAGGCCAAGUGCGGCGCGGGUGUUCUUCAGCCAGCCGCCCUUGUUCGCGAUGCUAUUAGCCUUGUUACGGUGUUUAUUCGUCUACUCUGUAUAGAAUAAUCGAUCCGAUUUUUUGAUUAAAGAAUAGCCCGACAAGCGGCGCCACCGUGACGUUGCGAUUAAUCGGCCGAUCCAUCGCCGAUUUCCCGCGGAUUCGAAGCGCAAUGUGUAAUAGAAAAGGACCUUUAUCUAGAGGGACAGCGUUGAUUGGGCGUGCAAUUUUUUCGGAACAUCAUGUGUACCGACAGAGUGCAAAACGAGGUAAAUUUCAUAAGCGUGCACUCGCGAUUAUUGAGCAAGAAUUCGGCCAUCGAAAUCAAUAGCUUGUUCAAACUGAUAUUGUGGAUACACGUAUGUACCUCUCGGCGAAAUGGAUACCUAUAUGGAUGGUCGUGAAUAUAACCGUAUAUGGGUAUGUGAUGCAACUUGAGAGUUUGAGCAACUCUUAAAACCGCCGAAAGUAUGGAAGUCCUCAUACUUUGCUGUGAAUUAUCGGAACGAGCGAUACUCGAGAUUAUGUGUUGAAACUGGCAUUCGUCGUUGAUCAAUAAUUUUUAUAUUCCUAUUUUCGUCUCUCCGUAAAAUAAAUAAUCUCAUCCAACUUUUUAGCUACAGGACUCUCGAAUCGAAACGUAUAACCAUACUCGAUGAGAACAACAAACACGUCACACCAGUUUUUGGCAUAACUGAUCCAUAUUCAUUGUCAUGAUAAUGAUCAAUAGCAAGAUCUGCAAUAGUUGUUUGUUGAGAGAUUAAGAUGCCGCCGAUGGCUGAUCUACCUGAGUAAAAUUUAUAAAACACAUUUGAAUCUGACGGAAUAAAUCGUGGCUGUUAUUCCGAUGAACUUUUUAUAACAAUAACUAUUAUAAUACGAAAUUAGAUUGGCGAUUAUAUUAAUUGCGUAACGCGACUAUCGAAAUAGAUCCCUGAAGCGGUGACGACGAUGAUAAUAUUUUUGUUGACGCGCGGAAUAUAUCAUGUUUCCAGAUUGGUUUCUUUUUUGUUUUGAUCGUGUGAAAAUUCGAUCUGUUUGCAUCGGCAUCGGCGUCGUUAACGUCAUGGAAUAACGAUUUUUAUUUUCGUAGGUGUAAUUGCUACGUAUUUUUUUUUUUUUUUUUUUUUUCAUCUUCUAUCCAAGUGAUCUACAUCUACCGGAGCGGCGUUCAUCUCGCGAUGGUAAAAAACGGAAUCGCCACACGCGUCAUCCAACAAUAUCUUCGGAAAACCAGUUCGUCGGGGACAGACUGACCGGUCACCGUGUAUUAUGAUAAAUAUAUUUACAAUGAUAGACGUUUUGUUUGUCACGGUUGUAUCCGUCUCACGUAACAACCGUGAAAUGUUACGCUAUUGUUUCUGCCGCACGUGUACCAAUUUUUGCAUAAAAAUAUGAACAUUCAAUUCUGCACACACGCUAAUAACGAGUAUAAUGGAGACAAUACGGGGUCGGGAGCGUCAGUUUUUUUUUUUUUCCGUUUAAUGAGGCAAUACGCCGAUUCCAAUAAUCGAGCCAUACCGAUUGGUGGUAAAUACCAGUGAGUGAAUCCUUCGUGCGAGACGACCCGCUGUUCCGCACACCGUGUAAGUUCUGUUUGCAACGGCAAUUAUAUUCGCGGUUGAAUUAAAAUUACGAAAUUCUCAGCAACCGCGGUAUAGCUGCAUGCGGCGAUUUUCACUCACAAGUUUGCAAUCGAUCCGCGAGUCAACUUUCCACGUUCCCCUUACACAUUAAUUAUUGCAUACGAAACACGACGUGAAAACGAUUUGCACUCUUGCACUUAGUUUUUAUAUAGAUCGCGAUAAAUCGGAACACUGCAACGGCAUUAUACCGCACCGAGAUGCCAUUUUCCGGUCAGCGUAUAUUACACGUAAUAUCCAACGCGAGGGAGGCGUCCAGGCACGGCUGGAUCAAUUGACAUUGAAAAGUCGUUCUGUUCGUUGCGCUCGAACGUGAUUUCUUUAUUAAAAAAUGUAUCGCUCGGAAUGAAAUAGAGUCGAUUGGUCUACUGCCGCGAGACGCCACUAUAUUUGCAAUGUUCAUUUACUUUAGCUCUCGUUUUGCUCUUACUUCGUGAUCAUCGCCCUCUCUUUUUGCCUUCGUAAUCACCGUACGACCAUUGAAACUAUCGAGUAUACAAUAAAGUGCACGAAUAAUUUGUUCGAUGUGUUGUGCCGCGUAGACCUAGGCUGGAUCAGAUGAAAACACCUGUGAAAAAGACUCAUCGUUGAACGAUGUGGGCACGUGUAGAAAUACGGAGGCAGCCAGCAUGAGUUUGUAAUUUUCCUUCUUGUCUCCAUGGGUAGCUACUAACUUCCUACAGAGCGACGCCGGGGACGUCGGCAUCGGGCGCUUUGAGGCCUUGUAAAUAACGAAGCUGAACAAGGUAAUUUUCUUCUGGCUAAAAACAUGUUAUUCCUGAAAAUGAACGCCGCGCCAGGUGUGUCGCUAUUUCGGGCUACAGGAAAAUUACACGACAAAGGAAGAAAUGAGGAACGAACGCGUGGCUUUCCAACUGACAGUCGAUGUGACCGACACCCAGCCAUCGCCAUCGCCUGCAGAAUAAGAUUUCGCUUACUCAGGAGCCAGUGUCAAGGUGUAUUCGCCUGUAGUCGGCUCACGCAUACAACGCUCCUCGGCUGCCAACUCAUUGCUCAGGUUCUGGUUUUACAGCUGAAAUCGCGUCGCAGCGCCUCAUCUCAAUCUGUACAUUUUAUUACCCAAUGACGACCACGCGAUGGACAAAGAUACUCCUGGUUCACCGCUGCUGCAGAGGUAUAUCUAUCUGUCUCUCGUUUCGAGAAUCACGGCCUAUACAUAACACGUAAGCCAAAGAACUGUAUGCUCUCCUAAAUAUAACUGCUGUUUGCUCUGGCUUUGAAUAGAGACCCCGAGAGAUGCUGAGCCAAGAAAAUAAAAAAAUUUUCAUCGAUAGUUCAGGUCGGAAUGGAUUAUUAUUACAUAUUAUUGAGCAUCUCAUUUGUGUGGUCUGAAUUGUCGGGCUCGCAUUGAAUUGGAAUUUGAAUUCCACAUAAAACGCGUUAUCACUAAACGAACUAAGCGGAUCUCGAAAAGGAAUUUCAUCGUUGGCGUGCUUGUUUCAACUAAACUUCCAUAGAUCUGUGUGACUUCCAGAACCGUGUUUUGAAGCACUUCGGUUAAAACUCGUAGUUAACAUAGGUGUGAUAAACCGCACAACACACAUAGGUGCUGUAAACGGUGGUUCGCGAUUGUCCCCCAUAGAUAAUCUUAUUAUACUCUCUCUCAUUAUCGCAAUUAUUGCGGCAUGAUCCACCUGACGGUUGCGGGUCGAUGCGUAGUAUAGUACGCGUACAGCUCUUUAAAAGGUAAACAUGAUCGUCUAAUGCUGAAAACUUGUACGCUCUGUAGAAUGAUGAUAACCAGAACGAGCAAUAUAAUUUUUCCAUAAAACUGAUUUAUGAUCGCCGGUGUUUACUCACAAACGAAUAUUUUUCCCCAAGAUAUAAUGAAAAAACAAAAAAAAAAUCGAUUCGCCGAUGUAAAGCAAAUCGACAGUGUGAAAUUUGAUGGGACCGGUUGGUGUCGUUAAAUGACAUUCGAAUGUUGCUAGUUAUUUUGGUUCGUUUCUGGAUAUUUCUCAUUACUUGCGCCCGAAACAAUCAGAUUACGAUAUUCUGCAUACCAUUCGGUAUGAUAGCGAUAUUUUUUUUUAAAGUCCGAAAUAAUUUUUC